GACGAACGCUGGCGGCGUGCCUAAUACAUGCAAGUCGAACGCAGUGGGGACUGGUGAUUAACCCGUGGGUAACCUCCCCUCAGAGGGGAUAACACUUGGAAACAGGUGCUAAACCGAUACUGAUGGAUGGACCCGGGGUGCAUUAGCUAGUUGGUGAGGUAACGGCUCACCAAGGCCACGAUGCAUAGCCGGCCUGAGAGGGGGAUCGGCCACACUGGGACUGAGACACGGCCCAGACUCCUACGGGAGGCAGCAGUAGGGAAUAUUGGGCAAUGGGCGAAAGUCUGACCGAGCAACGCCGCGUGAGUGAAGAAGGUUUUCGGAUCGUAAAACUCUGUUGUUAGAGAAGCGGUAUCUAAACAGAAAGCCACGGCUAACUACGUGCCAGCAGCCGCGGUAAUAC
rnacentral:rRNA from 1 species